GACGAACGCUGGCGGCGUGCUUAACACAUGCAAGUCGAACGGUAAGGCCCCUUCGGGGGUACACGAGUGGCGAACGGGUGAGUAACACGUGAGCAACCUGCCCUUGACUCUGGAAUAACAGUUGGAAACAGCUGCUAAUACUGGAUAUUCAUCGUCUCCUUCCUGGGGGGUGGUGGAAAGCUCCGGCGGUCAGGGAUGGGCUCGCGGCCUAUCAGCUUGUUGGUGAGGUAAUGGCUCACCAAGGCUUCGACGGGUAGCCGGCCUGAGAGGGCGACCGGCCACACUGGGACUGAGAUACGGCCCAGACUCCUACGGGAGGCAGCAGUGGGGAAUAUUGCACAAUGGGCGCAAGCCUGAUGCAGCAACGCCGCGUGCGGGAUGACGGCCUUCGGGUUGUAAACCGCUUUCAGUAGGGACGAAGGGUGACUGACGGUACCUACAGAAGAAGGACCGGCUAACUACGUG
rnacentral:rRNA from 1 species